rnacentral:rRNA from 1 species
GAUGAACGCUGGCGGCGUGCCUAAUACAUGCAAGUCGAGCGAACAGACGAGGAGCUUGCUUCUCUGACGUUAGCGGCGGACGGGUGAGUAACACGUGGAUAACCUACCUAUAAGACUGGGAUAACUUCGGGAAACCGGAGCUAAUACCGGAUAAUAUAUUGAACCGCAUGGUUCAAUAGUGAAAGACGGUUUUGCUGUCACUUAUAGAUGGAUCCGCGCCGCAUUAGCUAGUUGGUAAGGUAACGGCUUACCAAGGCAACGAUGCGUAGCCGACCUGAGAGGGUGAUCGGCCACACUGGAACUGAGACACGGUCCAGACUCCUAAGGGAGGCAGCAGUAGGGAAUCUUCCGCAAUGGGCGAAAGCCUGACGGAGCAACGCCGCGUGAGUGAUGAAGGUCUUCGGAUCGUAAAACUCUGUUAUUAGGGAAGAACAAAUGUGUAAGUAACUAUGCACGUCUUGACGGUACCUAAUCAGAAAGCCACGGCUAACUACGUG